GAAAAAUAGGAAAAGCUGUAUCUGGAGGAAGUGAAAAAGAGAAGAUGGUUACAAAAUGAACUGGAAAGAGCUGAGGAAAACCAAGGAAAAGCCAAAAGAAAGCUUUGUGGGAAGCUUGUUCUUUCCCCUUCCAUCA